GUUAAAUGUUUUAUCAAGCUCAAGUUCAAUUUUUUUAUCAAGAUCCCUCGAUGGCACAUGCAAGGUAUGGGACCUUGUUACUGGAAGACUUUUACAAACUCGAGCUUUUCCACUACCAAUUACUGCAAUAGUUGUUGAUCCAACAGAGAUGAAGUUAUUUUCUGGUGGUAUAGAUUACUAGUGGAUAUUUCUUUUUUGUAUACGGGGGACAUCAUUUUUGUA